CAGCGCCCCAAGUGGCAGUCACGAUUAUUGGGCCUAAAGCGUUCGUAGCCGGCUUCAUAAGUCCUUUGUGAAAUCGUCAUGCUUAACAUGACGGCGCGCAGGGGAUACUGUGAGGCUCGGGACCGGGAGGAGUCAGAGGUAUGCCGUGGGGACCGGUAAAAUGGGAUAAUCCACGGUAGACCACCGAUGGCGAAGGCAUCUGACCAGAACGGAUCCGACGGUGAGGGACGAAAGCCAGGGGAGCGAACCGGAUUAGAUACCCGAGUAGUCC
rnacentral:rRNA from 1 species